UACGUAGGGUGCAAGCAUUAAUCGGAUUUAUUGGGCGUAAAGGGGGCGCAGGCGGAGAAGUAAGUCGGACGUGAAAUCCCGGGGCUCAACCCCGGACACGCGUUCGAAACUACUUUCCUAGAGGGAUAGCGGAGAAAACGGAAUUCCACAUGUAGCGGUGAAAUGCGUAGAUAUGUGGAAGAACACCGGUGGCGAAGGCGGUUUUCUAGCUAUUUCCUGACGCUGAGGCCCGAAAGCUAGGGGAGCAAACAGG
rnacentral:rRNA from 1 species